rfam:Rahnella aquatilis CIP 78.65 = ATCC 33071, complete genome.
UACUGAUAACCAGCACGGGCGUCGAGGAAACUCUACGCCCGUGCACGCAUGUUGAGGGUAGGUUAAAGCAU